UGUGCCUGACUAAAAGCAAAACAAUGUAGCCUUAGACACUAGUAUAAUUAAAUUGUUUUCGACAUUUCUUGAAAAUAUUAUUGAGCAACGUAUAACAUAAACUUGUGUCGCAUUCGUUUUUUAAAUGUUUGAUUCUAAAUUGUGUCCAGUGCUCAUACGAAAAUUCUCUUCCCACUGAUUAACACCGACAAAUACGUUUACGUGCUGGGAUUGUUGAUGAUGGAUUGUGAAUGGAUGUGAUGGAACCCAUGGAGAAGAUACAACAGCCGACCAACUUAUACAUAGAUACAAUCUCUGUGGUUGAGCUUUCAUUAGACACAAUAAUAGUGUUGAUUGGCUUACUGAUUGGCCAACACUUCCUGACCAAAAAUUAUCAUUUAUUGAUUUCAUGUAAAGUUGCAGUGUUUUGUAAUUAGCAGCCAAUAAACUAAGCUAUUCAACCUGUCAGUCGUCUGGCCUGAGAGAGCUUCCUGUAAAGCGUUUCCUAUAGAUUCGCUUAACUGCUUAACUAAUUCAAGUCGGAACUCGCUUAAGGGAGAUUGGGGGUGGUGUACACGAGUAAUUAGUUUCUAUGAAGUGUCGUGGAGUUUCGGAAUGUAAACAGCAUAUUUCGAUUAUUUGCAUAAUUAUCAUAUCAGACUACAAUAUCAAAAGCACACUGUGGAUAUUUGGAGUGCUCUUCUCUAUGAACUGUUUUUUUUUUUUUAGACGCUUGGAAGAACGGCAACAGAAAAUCGAAUUUUUCUAAAUCAUAUUAUGUUUUACCAAAUAAGAUGCAAUCGAAUGAAUGUGCAUAUAUGUAUGUAUGUGUGUGUAUAUAAAAAUUUAGAUCUAUAAGCAUAACACUUGGAAUUUGUCUCUCUUUCGUUAUCUCUUUUGCUUCUAAGGCG